rnacentral:rRNA from 1 species
AUUGAACGCUGGCGGCAGGCCUAACACAUGCAAGUCGAGCGGCAGCGGGAAAGUAGCUUGCUACUUUUGCCGGCGAGCGGCGGACGGGUGAGUAAUGCCUGGGAAAUUGCCCAGUCGAGGGGGAUAACAGUUGGAAACGACUGCUAAUACCGCAUACGCCCUACGGGGGAAAGCAGGGGACCUUCGGGCCUUGCGCGAUUGGAUAUGCACAGGUGGGAUUAGCUAGUUGGUGAGGUAAUGGCUCACCAAGGCGACGAUCCCUAGCUGGUCUGAGGGGAUGAUCAGCCACACUGGAACUGAGACACGGUCCAGACUCCUACGGGAGGCAGCAGUGGGGAAUAUUGCACAAUGGGGGAAACCCUGAUGCAGCCAUGCCGCGUGUGUGAAGAAGGCCUUCGGGUUGUAAAGCACUUUCAGCGAGGAGGAAAGGUUGAUGCCUAAUACGUAUCAACUGUGACGUUACUCGCAGAAGAAGCACCGGCUAACUCCGUGCCAGCCGCCGCGGUAAGAC